GAUGAACGCUGGCGGCGUGCCUAAUACAUGCAAGUCGAGCGAACAGAUGAGGAGCUUGCUCCUCUGACGUUAGCGGCGGACGGGUGAGUAACACGUGGAUAACCUACCUAUAAGACUGGGAUAACUUCGGGAAACCGGAGCUAAUACCGGAUAAUAUAUUGAACCGCAUGGUUCAAUAGUGAAAGACGGUUUUGCUGUCACUUAUAGAUGGAUCCGCGCCGCAUUAGCUAGUUGGUAAGGUAACGGCUUACCAAGGCAACGAUGCGUAGCCGACCUGAGAGGGUGAUCGGCCACACUGGAACUGAGACACGGUCCAGACUCCUACGGGAGGCAGCAUUAGGGAAUCUUCCGCAAUGGGCGAAAGCCUGACGGAGCAACGCCGCGUGAGUGAUGAAGGUCUUCGGAUCGUAAAACUCUGUUAUUAGGGAAGAACAAAUGUGUAAGUAACUAUGCACGUCUUGACGGUACCUAAUCAGAAAGCCACGGCUAACUACGUG
rnacentral:rRNA from 1 species